GCCGUGAGGCGCGCGGUCAGCCGGCUUCGGGUGCCCGGCCCUAUGGCAGCCACGGAAAGCUCCCGCGUGGUUCUCAGAAACAGUUUCCCUCUGCGCUGGGAGCAGUUUGAUGAAGAUUUUUAAGUGAAAAAAAAAGAAAAAAAGAAGAAGCGUAUUUUGAGUGGCUUACCAAGGCUGAAGGCGUCCAGGUUCCCAAAGGGUUCCAGGUGUCGGUACCUGAGAACGGCUGGUUUAAUGCUGCGCCGUGUCGAGCUAAAAGCAGUGGGAGGAUGUUGAGACGCCUAUCGCAUGUAAUCAGAAGUAAUUACACUCUACAGAUACCAGCCACAACGAUUCUUGCUGUACAGAGAUGCGUUACAUCUUUUUGUGCUGAGAGAAUUUUAGUGUGGUAGGGAAAAUAUUCCAUCACAGAACUGCAGCCACGACAAAAUGAAGGCAGAAUGUGUGUUUUUACACACAGAAUAUGCAGAACAGCAGGUAUGCAGGGACUGUGUGUUGGUUUACCUACGCAAUACUUCUGUUCCUUUGUCUACAUCCAACUGAGGUGACGUUUUUUCUCUUGCUUUAAACUUUUCCUAAGCAUUAUGUGGCCAACAGGGUGAAUUUGCACGAAUCCGUAUUCCAAAACUUGGAUCCUACUGAAAUUGAAAUCUGUGAAGUGUUCCAAUUGCUGCAGAGUAAGUGGGCUCUGACUCCUAAUACAACUGCUUAGAUAGAGCUCUCACUGCUGAGCCAGCAACGCAGGCUGUCCAUACAAGGUGCUCAUUACCUCAUGCUUUUGGUGUCAGCCAAGCUUCUGCCUCUAAUUUUUCCAAACAUCUAAAAUUUGUACUGAUGAAACACAGGAAAAGAAAGAAAGAAAGAAAGGAAAAAAAAAAAAACCAGCAACAACCAACCAAGAGGUUCACAGAGAUAAAUGACUCUGCUGCAGCUUUGAAGGGCUGUUUUUGUCUGUUUUGUCUUCAUCUUGAACUAUUUAGGGAGGUGCUUUCUUGUGUCUUUUGUCACUUGAAAAUCCCAUUUAGCCUCAGUGGAAUCACAUACAUGGCGCUCAAUGAGGCACAACUGGAGACAGAAGGCAGUUCCAUGAAGCACAGCUCCUGCUUUUUCCCUGCUGUUCUUGGUCCAGGUUGAUAAUUGGAGAUGUAACAUCAUACACUGCAAAGAAUUAAGCAUGAAUGAUUCUAGAUCAUGAAAAAAAUCUGGGCAAGCUUGAAAAGCUCUUCCCCAGGGACAACAUUCCAGCUGGGGCUGAUGGUGCUGUGUGUGUGCACAUAAUGCCAUCCAUCAUGAGCUGCCUGUUUUCCCAACAGUGUGAGUGGGACUCUGGUACAACCCAGAGAGGACGUAGAGGAUGUGGUGAAAGAAACCCCUGACCUUGCUCCCUUCUAUGAAUUUUGAGUCUAGAUAAGACAAUCAUCUUGUUAUACUACUUCUUAGGAGUCUAAUCAUAUUACAGGACAUUGUAUUUCACCUGUUAGCUUCAAGACACCUUGUGAAUGGCUGAACGUGUCAGGAAAAGCUCUCUUGUGCUUCAGAUGUGAAUCAUUGACUGGAUUGUAAAAGGCAAAGGCAAUCAAUCAACUCCAAUCUGAGAGUUGUUGUUCAUGUGGGUAACGUAUCUUGAAGCUUUAAUCAUCUGCGUACCCUUUCGGAAGUAAUUUCUACAAAUAAAUUCCAAAUGUCAGAUAUAUUUCAUCAUUUAGCUUCAGCAUAUGGAAGUAAAAGUUGAAAGAAGCAAUUCACGGUCAUUUCUUACUGGGAAGAAAAUGAAGGGAAAAAUCCUUGCAGAAGAAAGAGAAGAAAAAGGAAGCCGCAGGAAAGUAUUGCGAGCUGAUUUGUGGACACUCCCCCAAAAGGUCAUGGGAGGUAAUGGAAGGAAUGAAACUGGUGAUGGAAAUCAGCAACACAGACAAACAUCCAAAAAAAUACAAUCUUCAAGGGAGCAGCAGGCAAUCAGGCAGGGGUUCUGUGAGAAUCCACAAACCUCAUGUCAGUGCUAAAAUAGGACAGCCAUCAGCUCUGCUCCACAUCACGCCCACGUGCAAAAGAGCCCAGCACCCAGAGCUCCAUCACAACCAGCUGCAGUUUGAGCACACACAGCCUCAGGCUUUGGCAAAAGCGCGUGAAGACCAGGUUUAUUUGGGCAGGGCUGGAUGAUGCUGGCAGAGAAGCAUCCACCCUUCGGUGUGAAAGUGGAAGGAGCUGAACUUUGAACUCUGAGAUAAGCAAAUCUGAACAUGAAAUAAGACAGUGGCAUGUUGGACUUAAGCUGGCCUUUAUAUAAAAACAGUGCACAGAAUGCCUUCUGUUCUUGAUUUUAUGUUCCACAAGUAGACUCUAAGACUCUGCUUUUCCUCCCCACCACUGGAGCUGUAUUAAGGCCCAGCAAUUCGGCAAUCCUGGCUCUUCUGAUCCUGGUAAUUUUAAAUGGUGUUGUGACCCUAAGAACAAAAGCAGUUUCCCUCUCCACUGUAUUUUGGUUGUUCUGGGACACGUUCUGUCCUGUAAUCAAUAGAGUUUAAAAAUAAAUUUACGUUGUGCUUUUCAAACAUAAAAAUAUUUUCCCGAGGAGAAAGUGCAAGUGUCUUUUACAGACAAGGUAAAUAUUUG
rnacentral:lncRNA from 1 species